rnacentral:rRNA from 1 species
UACAUGGGGUGCAAACGUUGCUCGGAAUUAUUGGGCGUAAAGCGCGCGUGGGCGGUUACUCAAGUCGGAUGUGAAAGCCCUCGGCUUAACUGAGGAAGUGCACCCGAAACUGAGUAGCUAGAGUACUUAAGAGGAUCGCGGAAUUCCCGGUGUAGAGGUGAAAUUCGUAGAUAUCGGGAGGAACACCAGUGGCGAAGGCGGCGAUCUGGGAAGAUACUGACGCUGAGGUGCGAAAGCGUGGGGAGCAAACAGG